UGACGGGUGGUCCGUAGGACAACCCUUAAAAGGCUUAACAUAACGCACAUUCUACAUUUUAUCCGGUUAUUUGUAUUUUAUAGAUGGCUAUGACCCGAAGCGUGUAAUAAAAGACCGGGUUAAAUCCUUCGCUACCACAUAUAUAUUCCUUUUCCUACCCUUGCACCUAGCCCCGUUACAACCCGUAAGUUUCCUUGAUUUAAAAGCAUGCUAGACAUUUGUUAGGAGGCAACUUGAUUUUCAUACAAGCUUAUUGUCGCACACACACAUAUACGCAUUGAGUGGUUUAGCAUAACUUGCUAAUUUUUCUUGUCACCGAGAGUUUGUGAGGGGUGUGUCUUGUGGUUUGAUAAAAAGCUAGUAAAAGGAUGGCACUUUGGUUUGGUUUGCAUGAUUGGUCGCUUAUGGUUAAAAACAGUUUUUGAAGUGGUUGCUUGGGACAAGCAACGGGUAAGUGUGGGGAUGUGACGGGUGGUCCGUAGGACAACC
rnacentral:lncRNA from 1 species